AUCUGUGUAUGCUUCCUACAUGUGUUGAUUCGUUUUCGUGCCAUCGUGUGAGAGGUGUCUCCCUUGAACUUUGUUAUGCACCAGCACGUUCCCCAUCUCACA